rnacentral:rRNA from 1 species
AUCGAUGAAGAACGCAGCGAAAUGCGAUAAGUAAUGUGAAUUGCAGAAUUCAGUGAAUCAUCGAAUCUUUGAACGCACAUUGCGCCCUCUGGUAUUCCGGGGGGCAUGCCUGUUCGAGCGUCAUUACAACCCUCAAGCUCUGCUUGGUAUUGGGCGUCACCACUCGUGGUGUGCCUUAAAAUCAGUGGCGGUGCCAUUCGGCUUCAAGCGUAGUAAUUUUUCUCGCUUCUGGAGCUUGGGUGUGUGCUUGCCAGCAACCCCCAAUUUUUUUAAGGUUGACCUCGGAUCAGGUAGGGAUACCCGCUGAACUUAAGCAUAUCAAUAAGCGGAGGAAAAGAAACCAACAGGGAUUGCCUCAGUAACGGCGAGUGAAGCGGCAACAGCUCAAAUUUGAAAUCUGGCCUCACGGUCCGAGUUGUAAUUUGUAGAGGAUGUUUCGAGUGUGGUCCGGUCUAAGUUCCUUGGAACAGGACGUCAUAGAGGGUGAGAAUCCCGUAUGCGACUGGAUACCUAAUCUCAUGUGAAACUCCUUCGACGAGUCGAGUUGUUUGGGAAUGCAGCUCAAAAUGGGUGGUAAAUUUCAUCUAAAGCUAAAUACUGGCCAGAGACCGAUAGCGCACAAGUAGAGUGAUCGAAAGAUGAAAAGCACUUUGGAAAGAGAGUUAAACAGUACGUGAAAUUGUUGAAAGGGAAGCGCUUGCAACCAGACUUGCACGCAGUCGAUCAUCCGAUGUUCUCACCGGUGCACUCGAUUGUGUUCAGGCCAGCAUCGGUUUUGGUGGUGGGAUAAAGGCCUUGGGAAUGUAGCUUCUUUCGGGGAGUGUUAUAGCCCUCGGUGCAAUGCCGCCUACUGGGACCGAGGACCGCGCUUCGGCUAGGAUGCUGGCGUAAUGGUUGUAAGCGACCCGUCUUGAAACACGG